rnacentral:piRNA from 1 species
UCCCUUUUGCGAUGCUUCAGAAACCAGGU